UAGAACGCUGAAGCUUGGUGCUUGCACCGAGCGGAUGAGUUGCGAACGGGUGAGUAACGCGUAGGUAACCUGCCUGGUAGCGGGGGAUAACUAUUGGAAACGAUAGCUAAUACCGCAUAACAGUAGAUAUUGCAUGAUAUCUGCUUGAAAGGUGCAAUUGCAUCACUACCAGAUGGACCUGCGUUGUAUUAGCUAGUUGGUGAGGUAACGGCUCACCAAGGCGACGAUACAUAGCCGACCUGAGAGGGUGAUCGGCCACACUGGGACUGAGACACGGCCCAGACUCCUACGGGAGGCAGCAGUAGGGAAUCUUCGGCAAUGGACGGAAGUCUGACCGAGCAACGCCGCGUGAGUGAAGAAGGUUUUCGGAUCGUAAAGCUCUGUUGGUAGUGAAGAAAGAUAGAGGUAGUAACUGGCCUUUAUUUGACGGUAAUUACUUAGAAAGUCACGGCUAACUACGUGCCAGCAGCCGCGGUAAUACGUAGGUCCCGAGCGUUGUCCAGAUUUAUUGGGCGUAAAGCGAGCGCAGGCGGUUAGAUAAGUCUGAAGUUAAAGGCUGUGGCUUAACCAUAGUACGCUUUGGAAACUGUUUAACUUGAGUGCAAGAGGGGAGAGUGGAAUUCCAUGUGUAGCGGUGAAAUGCGUAGAUAUAUGGAGGAACACCGGUGGCGAAAGCGGCUCUCUGGCUUGUAACUGACGCUGAGGCUCGAAAGCGUGGGGAGCAAACAGGAUU
rnacentral:rRNA from 1 species